rnacentral:tRNA from 1 species
AAACCAAAAAUAAGAAAAUUCUUUAAAAACU